UUUUUAUAGCCACUUUACGUCUGUCUCGAUACUUCAGGAGAAGUUAGGUAUAGAGCCUAGAGUACACAAGUAGAAUUUUGCUUGAUGGUACUAUACUUUGUAUUGUAUUAUAUUUGUAUUGUAUUAUAUUGCUUGCAUUCCCUGUUUAAUAUAUUCCAAUAUUUUAUGUAGCUGUCAUACUAUCAACUUCAACAGAAUAAUCUGUACUAGGAAGUAGUAAAAGUUUUGGGUCGGUUUUCUUUUUUAAUUUCCUUUCCCCCAGAGCAGAAAUAAAGAUCGAAAAAAGGAAAAUGGAUGACUUUUUGGCCCAACUGUAAGCAAAAUACGGGAGAAAUGCUAAAAAAGGAGAAAAGACGACUGCAGCCAAGAAAGGAAAGAAAUAAAGAACUGUGUAGGCUGAGAUACCAGGUGUUCCUUUACAAAGGAGAGCUGCACCUCAUCCCGCUGUCAGAGACCCAGGAGCAGGAAUGUGACCUAUCUGCCACCACUCUGACAGUCUCGCAGGCGGUGACGCUGUUGUCCACCUGUUCAGAGGAGUUCCUGGCUGCAGAGCCCAUCCCAACAGCAGUGUAGAAGCGCAUCAGUGGGUAUCCUGAGAAAAUUCAGGCCUCAUUUCACC